rnacentral:rRNA from 1 species
CACGUAGGGGGCGAGCGUUGUCCGGAUUUAUUGGGCGUAAAGAGCUCGUAGGCGGCUUGGUAAGUCAGGUGUGAAACCUCCAGGCUCAACCUGGAGACGCCACUUGAUACUGCAAAUCUCGAGUCCGGAAGAGGUGAGUGGAAUUCCUAGUGUAGAGGUGAAAUUCGUAGAUAUUCGCAAGAACACCAGUGGCGAAGGCGGCUCACUGGCCCGAUACUGACGCUGAGGCACGAAAGCGUGGGGAGCAAACAGG